rnacentral:rRNA from 1 species
AUGUAAUGAAAUUCCUAAAUGUUAAUUCACUAGAGCCCAUUAGAACUAUGCAUUUAAGCAUGCUUGGGCUAGAGUAGUACAUGGAUGGAUGACCUCAUGGGAAUUCCUAGUGUUUUACAUU